rnacentral:rRNA from 1 species
UACGAAGGGGGCUAGCGUUGUUCGGAAUCACUGGGCGUAAAGCGCACGUAGGCGGACUUUUAAGUCAGGGGUGAAAGCCUGAGGCUCAACCUCAGGACUGCCCUUGAUACUGGGAGUCUUGAGUAUGGUAGAGGUUGGUGGAACAGCAAGUGUAGAGGUGAAAUUCGUAGAUAUUUGCUAGAACACCAGUGGCGAAGGCGGCCAACUGGACCAUAACUGACGCUGAGGUGCGAAAGCGUGGGGAGCAAACAGG